rnacentral:rRNA from 1 species
CAGUAGCCGCGGUAAUACGUAGGUGGCAAGCGUUGUCCGGAAUUAUUGGGCGUAAAGGGUGCGUAGGCGGUCGGGUAAGUCGGAUGUGAAAUCCUGGGGCUCAACCUCAGAACUGCAUUCGAUACUGCUUGGCUAGAGGACUGGAGAGGAGACUGGAAUUCACGGUGUAGCAGUGAAAUGCGUAGAUAUCGUGAGGAAGACCAGCGGCGAAGGCGGGUCUCUGGACAGUUCCUGACGCUGAUGCACGAAGGCCAGGGGAGCAAACGGGAUUAGAUACCCCGGUAGUCCCUGUCUCUUAUAA